ACUGUGUUGCGGCCAUUCGCUGUUGGGAAUGGCCAGCUAGUGUUGGGGCCCGUGGGUGGGUGAGUAUCUUUUCGUACACGAAGCCUAACGCAAUUGUGCGCAUGAAAGGCCACCAGCAGAGAAGCUGCCUCGAAGAGCACUGAGGAGCAAGAUGGGCGCGGUGGGUGUCUUCUGCAGGAGUUGGAGGAAAUGGAAUCAGCAAGAGUUUGUGUGGUAAAAAGUAAACAAACCUGUCAGAAGUGGGAUUCGAACCCACGCCUCCAGAGGAGACUGCGACCUUAACGCAGCGCCUUAGACCGCUCGGCCAUCCUGACAGUACAAGCACUCCUGUGUUUGCUCACCUCCCUGAUAUGGGCAUUCCAUGCCUGUUCCUUCGUGGGUGUGAUGGGGCGCCUAGGCUCAUGGCAGUCUAUUAUGGCUUUCCUUCUUGUUUUAAAUAUCUGCUCCAAUAUCCUAUUUCACUGUAAAGGUUUAUGUUUGUUGGUAUGAGUCAGUGACAGUACCUGCAUACCAGACUCAGCAUCAUAAGAG
rnacentral:tRNA from 1 species